rnacentral:rRNA from 1 species
UACAGAGGUCUCGAGCGUUGUUCGGAUUCAUUGGGCGUAAAGGGUGCGUAGGCGGCGCGGUAAGUCGGGUGUGAAAUCUUGGAGCUUAACUCCGAAACUGCAUUCGAUACUGCCGUGCUUGAGGACUGGAGAGGAGACUGGAAUUUACGGUGUAGCGGUGAAAUGCGUAGAUAUCAUGAGGAAUACCAGAGGCGAAGGCAGCCUCCUGGGCCAGCACUGACGCUCAUGCACGAAAGCGUGGGGAGCAAACAGG